GAUAGAGGCGCGGCUGAUAAGAGUACCCAUCCGGAAUGCAGGCACAGCAGGAUGGCGAAAGGCUCAGCCGCCGAAGGGUCGGCCCGCUGCCUGGCGGGACGAUGCCUGGGUCGUCGGAGAAAAUCCGGCGGACUGUCGUCCGGAAACGGACGGGGCGCUGUC
rnacentral:ncRNA from 1 species